rnacentral:tRNA from 1 species
GCUCCUGUAGUCUAGUCCGGUCAAGGAUGCGACCCUCUCGCGGUUGCGACCCGGGUUCAAAUCCCGGCGGGAGCA